AUGCAGCCCUUAUUAUGUAAUCUAACAAGUUCAGCCUCGGAGAGAAUAUUAGAGCUGCAAGAAAAGAUUGGAGAUUCUGAAUUCGACAGGGAUCUGUUGCAGAUUAAAGAAAAGAUUGCUUCUGGAUCUUUUGGAGACUUAUAUCGAGGAACUUACCUUGAUGUGGAUGUUGCAAUAAAGCUCCUCAAAACUGGACAUGCUAGCAAUGAUUCAAAAGUGCAGUUUUUGCAAGAAAUAAUGAUUUUAAGGAGUGUUAAUCAUGAAAACGUCAUUCGCUUUUACGGGGCAUGCACAAAGCGUCGAAACUAUCUCAUUCUAACAGAGUACAUGGCUGGAGGUAAUCUGUAUGACUUCCUUCACAAGCAAAACAAUACCUUGGAGCUUUCCUUGAUUCUUAGGAUUGCUAUUGGCAUCUCGAAAGGGAUGGAUUAUUUGCACCAGAAUAACAUCAUCCAUAGAGACUUGAAGUCUGCCAAUGUAUUAGUUGGCGAUGGUCAAGUCGUGAAGAUUGCAGACUUUUCUGUUGCUCGUCAACGAUCGCAAGAGGGAGAUAUGACUGCUGAAACUGGCACCUACAGAUGGAUGGCACCUGAGGUGAUAAACCAUAAGUCUUAUGAUCACAAGGCAGAUGUCUUCAGCUUUGCUAUUGUUCUAUGGGAGUUGGUCACUUUAAAGGUCCCAUAUGAAAGCCUGACACCAUUGCAAGCGGCACUGUCAGUAAGGCAGGGACUUCGCUUGGUGAUUCCCUCGAGCGUGCAUCCGAGAUUGUCUAAAUUGAUUCAAUGGUGUUGGGGUGAAAACCCCCAUACACGACCCGUUUUCUCUGAGAUCACCGCAGAACUGGAAGAUAUCUUGCUGACUUUUCAGGUCGCCUCCCGCUCCAAAGGAAGCCAUUGA
rnacentral:rRNA from 1 species